UUCAGAGAAGAGCCACAGCAGAGGGUGUCGGGGGAGGGUCUGUCCCGGGAAGGCCCCUUAGGGUCCUGCCCAGUUUCAGGAUCAUAAAAUAAGACAUUCCUUGUCAGCUGUAUGACAGGAACUGGAAAACAGUAAAUCCCCAGCGAGCCACGCGGGCUUUUGUUAUUAGUAUGUGAGUUAUGGUGCAGUCAGACCUCCUUGUUACAGCUGCAGAGAUGGAGCCUGUCAAAGACGCUCAACAAGGAGCAAUAUUGAAGAGGAAAAGUGAAAAUUUUUACAUAACCUCCUGCUUGUCCUGCCUCUGUAGCUCAGCUUACUCCUUACAAAUUCUGGAUCACGUAGGUCAGGAAGUCUCAGAAAGUGGGGACUUACAAUGCUAGGAAUUGGAGCUUAUCUCACUCACCCUCGUCCUGCAAUCGCCCGGCCCCUGCAAACCUGCUUAAUCAUGCCUGUUCAUGUAAAGCUCAGGCAUUCCCCUCCCCGUCAAGAUUGCUGUUCCGGCUCGCGAAACUUCUUAGUUUAAACCAGCAUAUAGCAGCUAGUGCUGCCCACUAUCGUCUGUCUAUAAAAACCCUGUAACUUCUUUGUUUGGGCCUCAGAGCUUGGAGUGUUGACACAUCUGGGCCUGCCCGCGUGAUUAACCUGAGUUCUCCACCUCUCCGAGUGUGCUGCUUGGUUCCCGCGUGAUUAACCUGAGUUCUCCACCUCUCCGAGUGUGCUGCUUGGUUUCCCACGUGAUUAACCUGAGCUCUCCACCUCUCCGAGUGUGCUGCUUGGUUCCCGCGUGAUUAACCUGAGCUCUCCACCUCUCCGAGUGUGCUGCUUGGUUCCCGCGUGAUUAACCUGAGCUCUCCACCUCUCCGAGUGUGCUGCUUGGUUUCCCGACCACCGGUUUCAAGACCCCACAGGAAAGAGCGCACGGCUACUCCUUUCGCAGCAUGCCAGACACCACGCUGAGAAACCCGGCUCCAUAAAACCUCUGCUGUAAUGAGAAUGGAAUGCACCUCGGUGGCCCGCUCCAUCAUCAGAUGGUUUGCCUUAACAUGCUUGAAAUCCCGUCUCAGAAAAGCCCAAACAUCUCUCUCCGUGACUCCUUGCAGUCUCUAGCAUAUAGGGCACACUUUUGGUGUCUUGAACUUGUAUUCUAGGAUCUAACAUUUGCAAGAAGCAACAUCUCAAUGAUCCUACUGGAACUUUUAUUAUGGAAAACACUGAAAACACAUAAGCUUAGAAAGAGGGCUUCCCAGGUGGCUCAGUGACUGGUGGUGUUAUGGAGUCCAAGCUCACUCUGCUAGCCACACGAUGGGCCGAUGAAGCCGAGAGAGGAGAUGUUGGGGCAAGGAAGAGACUUUAAUCGGGGAGCCAGCAGACUCAUAAGAUGGCAGGCUAGCGCCUCAAAAUAACCGUCUUAUUGGAGCCUAGAUGGCAGGUUGUUUUAUAGACCAGAAAGAAAGAAGCAAGGAGGAGCUGAAUUCAAAAGGCAGAAGGAAGAGGGAGAUGCAGUGGGGAAGUAAAGUGAAAGGGUCUUCAGUCUUGUAAAACAUCUCCAAGGGAACGUCCAGCCUUCAGAAGGGCGUGUUAUCCCUCCUUGAGCCGAACAAAGGCAUUUAAGUCUACAGUCAAGCAGAGGGGCAGGGUCCUCCAGGCAAGCCACUGAGUAAGAUUAUAAUAAUAAAUAAUAAUUUUUUAAAAGGCUUCCCUUGUGGGUCAGCAGGUAAAGAAUCCACCUGCAAUGUGGG
ensembl:lncRNA